rnacentral:rRNA from 1 species
GUCCAAGCAGUAAACGUUGAAUGUUAAAUAUAAGCAAAUUUAUAUUGUAGAUAACUCGUUAAACAUUCCGCCUGAGUACUACGAUCGCAAGAUUAAAAUUCAAAAUAUUUGACGGUUCCUAAAUUCCAUCCGGAGGAGCAUGUGGUUUAAUUCGACAACCCACGAGAAACCUUACCUAACCUGGUUUAAUAAACAAAGUUAAAUUUAAUAUUAAUCAGAUGCUGCAUGGCUGCCGU